GUAUCCAUAAGAAAAUUGAACCAAUACCAAAAUUCUUUUAGUCUGUGUUUCAUCUCUCCUUGGACUUGACUGGAUGAAAGAAGGGGAAGGGAUUAGCCAAAGAAUAUAAAAAUAGCCUAUGGACACAGACAACAGCGUGAGGAUGGUUCAGAAGACAGAAGCUGAGACUCGAAUGCAAGUUCAUUUUACUACUGAGCCGUGUUGUAGAGUUCCGUGUUCUGGGUUGGCGGGCCCUGCUGAGGCCUGUGUGCAGAAAAGAGAGGAGAAUGAGCUACUUUUCACAGAUGCUCAUUGAGCAUCUAUAUGUUCCAGACACUCACUAGCUGUUGGCAAUAUGAUUCAAGAUGGAACACUGAGCUGACUGAAGAAUUCAAUAGUCUACAAAGGAACCAGCCGCAUUACCAAAUGAUGCAUCAAUGUAGUGGUCACUCUAACAGAAGUGUGAACAAGGUGCUGUAGGAGUACAAAGGAGGAAGUGCCACUCUUGUUCCCUUUUCUCUCAGCCUCUCUGAGAAGCUGAUACAAUUUGGAGGACAGCCUGACUGUAUUGGGAAGCUGCU